UACGAGGGGGGCAAGCGUUGUUCGGAAUUAUUGGGCGUAAAGGGCUCGUAGGCGGUUUGUCGCGUCGGGAGUGAAAUCACUGGGCUUAACCGAGUGCUUGCUUUCGAUACGGGCAGACUUGAGGCAUUCAGGGGAGAACGGAAUUCCGUGGUGUAGCGGUGAAAUGCGCAGAUAAUCAGGAGGAACACCGGUGGCGAAGGCGGCAUCCUGGACCAUUACUGACACUGAAAAGCGAAAGCCAGGGGAGCAAACGGG
rnacentral:rRNA from 1 species